rnacentral:tRNA from 1 species
GCACCCGUAGCUCAGUUGGAUAGAGCGCUGCCCUCCGAAGGCAGAGGCCAGGGGUUCGAAUCCCUUCGGGUGCGCCA